UAGAAAAACUAGUAACUGGUAACAGCACAUGACAUUUGACUUAUCGCGGCAAUUGGUAAGCAAUGCUGUGAGAGGGCGUUUCAUUACACAACAUAUGGCUGAACUUCAUCGAUUUGUUUGCUACGUACAUACAUAUAUAUAUGAAACGCAUGUCGCGUUUACAAUGAAUAAGAAAAGCUUGUGUACAAGCGAUUUUGGUGUUGGUCGUUAAUUGUAAGAACGCUAUGUGCGUCGUUUAUUUUAGAAACAUUUACUCAGAAUUAUUGAUUAUUCAAGUUCAAGAAUAGUUUUUAAGGGAUGCUGUUAUGCGAAUUAAUUGAAUUAACUGUCAAUCGGUGACGUACUUACAACCACUUAACGGUCCAAUUAAUAAUAUACAUGAAAAAGAUCUAUAACUCGUUAUAUUGUUACUAGAGAAUUAAUCAGAAACUUUGAUAAAUAUAUAUAUUUAUGAUGAUAUAAAAUAGGAAGAAUUUAAAAAUUAAUAAAAUCAAAAUCGUCGUUCGUUGUAACAAAUUCAAAAAAUGAUUUAUAUGAACAUAGAGGCAAUAUUACAAACGGUCUUUAAGAAAAGCAUGUUUUUUUUUUGUAGUUAAAAUGCACGAAUUGAUCAUUAAACAUCUGCGUGAUCAAAACCGAAAACAGAGAGAUUAUACAUGUACUUGCAAGAAAAAACCGAUUGAGAUACUUACAACAAAUUUAGAUUUUCGUUUAUAAUGCUCGCAGCCGUAAUCAUCAUCAGCAGUGGCUUCCAAGGGUUCCUCCUUUGACGUCGACGCACGAUCAGCCACAGUGCGCGCUUCGUCGUUAUUCUCCAUAUCUUUCGAUGAUCCUAAAUUCCUACCUCUUUCUCCUCCGCCGCCUCCUUCUCAUCGACUCGCACGUCCUUUUCAGAUUUUCUUGUGCCGUAUCCGAUUAACACUAUCUCGGCUACAGUUUGUUUGUUUAAUUAACACACUAGCGGCGAUUCAAAAACGGUAGAAAAAGAACACCGACGUAGAACGUUCGGAUCACGCGCCGACAAGCGAGCAAGGGCUGUUUAUUCUGUAUGAAUAGGCAGCCCUCAACCCGAACCAAUAGGAAAUAUUUCAAGUCUCAUAUGUCUGAUCAU